rnacentral:lncRNA from 1 species
GUGCCGCGGUUUUCCCCAGAGGCAGUGAAAGAGCAGCUGAUGACCUCUAUAUUGAAAACUGGGAGGAACUUGACACGUCCUGAAGAUGCGUCACUGUUUCUCACCACCUGAGUAUUAUUAAGUAACUGAUACUGUGGGUCCAAGGAGGAGCCAGGCCUCUGGUAAGAUGACAUCUCAAUGUGAAGACUGCAUUUCCCAGAGGACAUAAGCGGAAAUAAUAUGCACAACUUCUAAGUUUUGUCCUAACAUGGAAAAGGCAUACCCUUCACUUCCACCUUCCCCCUUUCUGCUAUAAUGGAUGUGGGUGUGGUGGUAAGUCAUCUUGAACCAUCUGGAUGAGGGCAACACUGUACGGAUGGCAGAGAAGAUACAAGGAAAGGAUCCUGCAUUCCUCUGAAACCUCUCCCCUGUUUGAGGGCCAAAAAGAAUAUACUGAUGUUGAUAAUGAGGAGGAGGAGGAGGAGGAGGAGGAAGAAGAUUACAUGCUCCUUACGUUUUCUGGCUACAUUUCCACACCAUCCGCCGAAUAUAUAUUAAGUCAGGCACCGUCCUCAGCAUCAGAGGGGUGUGAGUAGCCUCCUUAUCCUCAAUGAGCUCUUGAUCAAGUGGGCAAGACAAACAGGCAACGCGACGGGUCUUGAAAGUCAAAUGUCUAAGAAGAGGAGGAAAACACCCCAAGCAAGUACGGGCCAAGAUUUGAGAUCACGUCUGGGAUGGUCUUUCAACCGUUCGUUCAUUCAUUCAAGAAAAAUCCCCGGGGUAUCAUAUUCCAAGCCCUGCGGUAAGCAUCGAGCGUAUAACGAUGCAUAAGACAUGAUCAUAAUCGUUGCCAUUAGGGAGUUUACAAUCUGGAAAGGAAGGGAAGCCAGCAGGCAGC